AUGCCGGACAGGAGGGGCGCGACCGUGCUGGAAGACCUGCCCGCCGAAAUCACCGUCGACAAGAUACUCGCCCGACUGCCGCCCAAGGACGUGGGCCGCUGCCGGGCCGUGCGCAGGUCAUGGCGCAGCGCCACCUCCACGCCCGAGUUCACGCUCGAGCACCACCGCCGCCAGCCGUCGCUCCCCAUCGUCGACGGCCGCCCCUCCCGCUUCGUCGUGCUCCGCGACGGAGCCGCCUCCGACGAGCAGCUCUGGCCCUUUCUCCCGCACGCCACAGACAACGACCGCAUCUGCCUCCACGCCGCCAGCGGCGGGCUCCUCGUCUUCUCCCAGGGAUGCCGGUUCCACAUCAGCAACCCGGCCACCCGCCGGCGGGCUCCUCUGCCGCAGCCCCCAAAUUCUCUGCCGCGCUACGGCAUACUCGGCCUCUACUGGCAUGAUUCAACCGGGGAGUACAGGGUGCUCUGGUCCUCGUGUAUGAAGCUGCAGGACAGGAACGCGAUAACGUUGCACGUCCUCACAGUGGGAGACAACGAGUCGAGAGCCAUCAGGGUCACACUGCCGACGCCACGCCUAGAACAGGCACUGCUCGAGGGACUGCCCCGGAACAACCACUAUUCUGAAGUUCAUCCGCCAGUCCGCCAACGCGACAAUCUGCAUUGGUUACGGAGAUGUUGCGCCGCCGGCAUGGGGGAGAUCAUUGUGUUCGACACGGAAGCCGAGUCGUUCCGGUGGAUGCACCUUCCCAUCCAGCCAGGCCAUUUCGACAAGCUGUUCGACAUGGAGGGAAAUCUUGCAUUGUGUAGUGUCUACCGCCACGGCACUGCUAUGGGUGUUUGGGUGAUGCAGGACUACGAGGCGGAAAAUUGGACGUUCAAGUUCCGGAUUGACGUGUCGGUGAUCGAGUCAUCACGGCCACUUGAUUUAACUCCUGAUCUGAAGAAGGAAAAGGGAAAGAUAAAGAAACACCCACUUGAUUCGACGAUGGUGGAAUAUAUCAGCGCGAUGACUAUGCUCGACGAGCGUGAGUUGCUGAUUCAGUUCAAUGCUAAACACGUGCUGCAUUGCGACACUAAUGGAAAGUUCUUAAGGAUGGCGAAGAUUGGGAAGCGACAGUGUCGUAUGGAGCUUACUCCCCAUCGCCUUCAAGAGAGCAUUAUUCCCAUUCCGGGAGGUGAGAUGGAAAAAGAAGAUGAGCCUGCACCUUGG
rnacentral:rRNA from 1 species